CCUACGGGCGGCAGCAGUGAGGAAUAUUGGUCAAUGGACGAGAGUCUGAACCAGCCAAGUAGCGUGAAGGAUGACUGCCCUAUGGGUUGUAAACUUCUUUUAUAUGGGAAUAAAACGUUCCACGUGUGGGAUUUUGUAUGUACCAUAUGAAUAAGGAUCGGCUAACUCCGUGCCAGCAGCCGCGGUAAUACGGAGGAUCCGAGCGUUAUCCGGAUUUAUUGGGUUUAAAGGGAGCGUAGGUGGAUUGUUAAGUCAGUUGUGAAAGUUUGCGGCUCAACCGUAAAAUUGCAGUUGAAACUGGCAGUCUUGAGUACAGUAGAGGUGGGCAGAAUUCGUGGUGUAGCGGUGAAAUGCUUAGAUAUCAGGAAGAACUCCGAUUGCGAAGGCAGUUCACUGGACUGCAACUGACACUGAGGCUCGAAAGUGUGGGUAUCAAACAGGAUUAGAUACCCUAGUAGUC
rnacentral:rRNA from 1 species